rnacentral:rRNA from 1 species
UACAGAGGGUGCGAGCGUUAAUCGGAAUUACUGGGCGUAAAGCGCGCGUAGGCGGUUUUGCAAGUCGGGUGUGAAAUCCCCAGGCUUAACCUGGGAACUGCAUUCGAGACUGCAUUACUAGAGUAUGGGAGAGGGAAGUGGAAUUUCCGGUGUAGCGGUGAAAUGCGUAGAUAUCGGAAGGAACAUCAGUGGCGAAAGCGACUUCCUGGACCAAUACUGACGCUCAUGUGCGAAAGCGUGGGAGCAAACAGG